CGCUUGAGAGAACUCGGGUGAAGGAACUAGGCAAAAUGGUGCCGUAACUUCGGGAGAAGGCACGCUGACACGUAGGUGAAGUGAUUUACUCAUGGAGCUGAAGUCAGUCGAAGAUACCAGCUGGCUGCAACUGUUUAUUAAAAACACAGCACUGUGCAAACACGAAAGUGGACGUAUACGGUGUGACGCCUGCCCGGUGCCGGAAGGUUAAUUGAUGGGGUCAGCGCAAGCGAAGCUCCUGAUCGAAGCCCCGGUAAACGGCGGCCGUAACUAUAACGGUCCUAAGGUAGCGAAAUUCCUUGUCGGGUAAGUUCCGACCUGCACGAAUGGCGUAAUGAUGGCCAGGCUGUCUCCACCCGAGACUCAGUGAAAUUGAACUCGCUGUGAAGAUGCAGUGUACCCGCGGCAAGACGGAAAGACCCCGUGAACCUUUACUAUAGCUUGACACUGAACAUUGAGCCUUGAUGUGUAGGAUAGGUGGGAGGCUUUGAAGUGUGGACGCCAGUCUGCAUGGAGCCGACCUUGAAAUACCACCCUUUAAUGUUUGAUGUUCUAACGUGGACCCGUGAUCCGGGUUGCGGACAGUGUCUGGUGGGUAGUUUGACUGGGGCGGUCUCCUCCUAAAGAGUAACGGAGGAGCACGAAGGUUGGCUAAUCCUGGUCGGACAUCAGGAGGUUAGUGCAAUGGCAUAAGCCAGCUUGACUGCGAGCGUGACGGCGCGAGCAGGUGCGAAAGCAGGUCAUAGUGAUCCGGUGGUUCUGAAUGGAAGGGCCAUCGCUCAACGGAUAAAAGGUACUCCGGGGAUAACAGGCUGAUACCGCCCAAGAGUUCAUAUCGACGGCGGUGUUUGGCACCUCGAUGUCGGCUCAUCACAUCCUGGGGCUGAAGUAGGUCCCAAGGGUAUGGCUGUUCGCCAUUUAAAGUGGUACGCGAGCUGGGUUUAGAACGUCGUGAGACAGUUCGGUCCCUAUCUGCCGUGGGCGCUGGAGAACUGAGGGGGGCUGCUCCUAGUACGAGAGGACCGGAGUGGACGCAUCACUGGUGUUCGGGUUGUCAUGCCAAUGGCACUGCCCGGUAGCUAAAUGCGGAAGAGAUAAGUGCUGAAAGCAUCUAAGCACGAAACUUGCCCCGAGAUGAGUUCUCCCUGAGACUUUAGGUCUCCUGAAGGAACGUUGAAGACGACGACGUUGAUAGGCCGGGUGUGUAAGCGCAGCGAUGCGUUGAGCUAACCGGUACUAAUGAACCGUGAGGCUUAACCUU
rnacentral:rRNA from 1 species